rnacentral:rRNA from 1 species
CUUUACACUGCGGGAACCGCGAUAAGGGCACACUGAGUGCCAGCAUAUUAUGUUGGCUGUCCGCAUGUAUAAAUAGCAUGUGUUAGCAAGGGCCGGGCAAGACCGGUGCCAGCCGCCGCGGUAACACCGGCGGCCCGAGUGGUGGCCACUAUUAUUGGGUCUAAAGGGUCCGUAGCCGGUUCGAUCAGUCUUCCGGGAAAUCUGACAGCUCAACUGUUAGGCUUCCGGGGGAUACUGUCGGACUUGGGACCGGGAGAGGUAAGAGGUACUACAGGGGUAGGAGUGAAAUCUUGUAAUCCUUGUGGGACCACCAGUGGCGAAGGCGUCUUACCAGAACGGGUCCGACGGUGAGGGACGAAAGCUGGGGGCACGAACCGGAUUAGAUACCCGGGUAGUCCCAGCCGUAAACGAUGCUCGCUAGGUGUCUGGGAUGGUGCGACCGUUUCAGGUGCCGCAGGGAAGCCGUGAAGCGAGCCACCUGGGAAGUACGGCCGCAAGGCUGAAACUUAAAGGAAUUGGCGGGGGAGCACUACAACGGGUGGAGCCUGCGGUUUAAUUGGACUCAACGCCGGAAAACUCACCUGGGGCGACUGCCACAUGAAGGUCAAGCUGAUGACUUUACCUGAUUGGUAGAGAGGUGGUGCAUGGCCGUCGUCAGUUCGUACCGUAGGGCGUUCUGUUAAGUCAGAUAACGAACGAGACCCUUGCCCUUAAUUGCCAUGUUUCCCUCCGGGGGAACGGUACUUUAAGGGGACCGCUGGUGCAAAAUCAGAGGAAGGUAAGGGCAACGGUAGGUCAGUAUGCCCCGAAUCCCCUGGGCGACACGCGCGCUACAAAGGCCGGGACAAAGGGUUCCGACACCGAGAGGUGAAGGUAAUCCCGAAACCUGUCCGUAGUUCGGAUCGAGGGCUGCAA